UUGAAUUAUUUUUCUCUCUUACACAGCUCGAGCACUGCAACCUUAGUUCUCUCCCGCUCCCUCAUUCUUACCCAUUUCACUCACUGCCUCUCUCUCGAGCACUUCAACCCUCGUUCUCUCUCGCUCCUUUAUACUGUCUCACUCUCUCGCUCAGUGGGCUCAUUCUUGCACUCACUCCAUGUCCAUCUCUUUCACUCUUACACAGUUCACCAUUGUCUUCUUCUUCGCACUCCAUUAACUCCUUCGUCACCAUUGUCUCGGACUGACUUACAAAGAAAAGCGGUUCCAACGUGAUGAGCAUGGUUACAAAUCAUUUUUGGACAUUUUAAACAUGUAUUGCAAAUAACACAAGGACAUCAGUGAGGUUUAUAGUGAGGUUGCUACCCUAUUCAAGGACCAUGGAGAUUUGCUUGAGGAUUUCACUAGAUUCUAACAGUAUACUUCUGCAGCACUUUAAUGAGCAAAGUUCCACAACUUCAAUGAUGUGCCAAAUUCCACCUGACAGGGUAGUAAGAUUUGUUGUUAUACCACUUAUAUAUGGAUCUUGUAAACUGCCUUUUUUAAUGAUUGGGUUUUGAACAUUUUUCUACAGUAACGUUAUUUAUAGAGAAGGCUGAAGGUUUUGGAAUGGCUUCCCACUUUCCUUCUUAUGAAGACAAAGACACCUCAAAGAAAAAAGGAGGAAUUCAGAUUUGACAAAACAUUGAAAUUGAAUAGAGUAAAACUAUUUAAAUAACACUUGUGGUGAUUGAAACUGACUAAUAAGAAAAAGAACGGUGACAGCAGUUAAACUGCAGUGGAGGUUUCAUUUAAUUUGCUUGAGAAGUACUUUGGAAGCACACUCAAAGGGGCCUCCAUGUGGGAAAAUGAGCUCCUAGAUGUAGGCUACCAGUCUCUAUGCAUCCAGAUUCCCUACACAGUAAGAGCUCUUAAUUUUGAACUAAGAACCCCAGCCUCACAUUUUGUUUCCUUAGUUGGUAUAAGGCAUACUCCUUGCAUAUUAUUUUCUACGUUAGUCAUGUACUCUUUGUGUGAGAUGGCUUACUCCAAGUAACAUUUAUUUUUAUACUUCUUGAUACANUUGAUAAGGAUA